UUUGACUGAUGCGCCGCAAUCAGACAGCGGCGUGAUGGGCUCAGUGUGAGGAGGAAGCUUUCAUUCACAUCCACGCCGGAGAAAUGACUGGAAAACCUUUCUGGCUGCUGCACAAAAUCAAAACCAACCUGGAUUAGAAACAGCUAUUAUUAAAACCAUAAAGGUUCUGGACUUUAACACGCAGUAGUUACAGAAAUCCACCCUCAGAUGAGCGACGCAUUAAUGACCCGAUCGGCACCAGGCUGAGCUCCUCCAGGAAACCAGCAGCUGCCGAUCAUCCAGAGGCAGAAACCCUCUGAGCUCAGACCCUACAGGCCUCAGCUAUGAUGCUAAAGGUCAAAGUUCAAACAGGCUUAGAACGACUGAAGGAUCCAAAUCGUGAUGAACCGGAGGAUUCAGUUCACUGAAAGACCGUAACAGUAAUUAUGUGUCAAAAGGUACACAUUUAAAAUAAAAACCUUUUUACUUUGGACGUUUGUUCUACACAGAAACUUAUCAAGCAACAUUUUAGUGACGUUUCAUUACGUCAGUGAAACUGUUGAUGUUUUUAGCUGCAGGUGGAUCCUCUGCCUCCAACGCCCACCUGCUCUCUGGAGGAAUGAUGUGUUACAGUUUCUGCCUUCUGCAGCAGAAACACUUCACUGAUGUUUCCUGUGCGUGAACUCGGUCAGAACGUAUCCCAUUCAUAUGUGCUUACACCUCGCUUUGCUGAGUCGUCGGGUUUCCAGCCAAUCAGCUCUUAAAGGGCCCGUUUUGCUGGCGCUGAAUGUGUUGUUUGUGCCGUUUCCAUGGCGCCUUCGGGAGCCGUUUUUAAGGAAAAUGUUUGCUCAUUAGUCGCCUUAAUGCAAAUUCACUCAGCAUUGUUCAGAUGUGAAUCAGCAUUGCUCUGGUAAUGACUGCUAGAAAAGCAAUUACCUUUGUAAUCACGGCUUCCCUCCUAAUGACUUUUCUUCAAAUAUACAUUUAUAAUUCAGAGCUACAGAACCACGGUGAUCUGGGGAAAGCUAAAGGAGUAGUUCUGUAAGAGCUGUCUGACUGUUUCAGUUGAAAGCGAAAGAUGAGGGAUUGGAGGAAGCGGUCCAGCUGGUUCUGUUCGUCUGAAGACUGAUGGAC